rnacentral:rRNA from 1 species
AGCAUGUGGUUUAAUUCGACGCAACGCGAAGAACCUUACCAGGGCUUGACAUCCCCUGACCGCGUAUGAAAGUACGUUUUCACCCUCGGGUGACAGGGAGACAGGUGGUGCAUGGUUGUCGUCAGCUCGUGUCGUGAGAUGUUGGGUUAAGUCCCGCAACGAGCGCAACCCCUACGUUUAGUUGCUAACGCGUGAAGGCGAGCACUCUAGACGAACUGCCGUUGACAAAACGGAGGAAGUGGGAUGACGUCAAAUCAUCAUGCCCCUUAUGUUCUGGGCUACACACGUGCUACAAUGGCCGGUACAGACGGACGCAAAGCCGCGAGGUGGAGCAAAUCCUAAAAAGCCGGUCUCAGUUCGGAUUGCAGGCUGCAAUUCGCCUGCAUGAAGUCGGAAUCGCUAGUAAUCGCAGGUCAGCAUACUGCGGUGAAUACGUUCCCGGGCCUU